CAACCCUCGAGCCCCUGUGGCCCGGCGUUGGGGAUCUGCCACGGCAGGCCCCUAAAACCAGUGGCGGACCCGAAGGGCCCUCUCCUUUGCGCAGUAGCAUUCGCCUCGCAUCGGGAGUCCUCGGCGUCCUGCCUCUAAACCCCCCAAACUUUUACA
rnacentral:misc_RNA from 1 species